rnacentral:rRNA from 1 species
GUGAGGAAUAUUGCGCAAUGGAGGCAACUCUGACGCAGCCAUGCCGCGUGCAGGAAGAAGGCGCUACGCGUUGUAAACUGCUUUUAACCGGGAAGAAACCCCAGGACGUGUCCUGGGUUGACGGUACCGGAGGAAUAAGCACCGGCUAACUUCGUGCCAGCAGCCGCGGUAAUACGAAGGGUGCAAGCGUUAUCCGGAUUCAUUGGGUUUAACGGGUGCGUAGGCGGAGCGUUAAGUCAGUGGUGAAAUCCUGCAGCUUAACUGUAGACUUGCCAUUGAUACUGGCGCUCUUGAGUGCGCUUGAAGUGGGCGGAAUGUGCCGUGUAGCGGUGAAAUGCUUAGAUAUGGCACAGAACACCAAUUGCGAAGGCAGCUCACUAAGGCGAUACUGACGCUGAGGCACGAAAGCGUGGGGAUCGAACAGGAUUAGAUACCCCGGUAGUCC